rnacentral:rRNA from 1 species
UACGGGGGGGGCAAGCGUUGUUCGGAAUUACUGGGCGUAAAGGGUUUGUAGGUGGCCCGCUAAGUCACACGUGAAAUCCCUCAGCUUAACUGGGGAACUGCGUGUGAGACUGGCAGGCUCGAGGGCAGGAGAGGAACGCGGAAUUCCAGGUGUAGCGGUGAAAUGCGUAGAUAUCAGGAGGAACACCGGUGGCGAAGGCGGGUCUCUGGGCAGUAACUGACGCUGAGGAGCGAAAGCGUGGGGAGCGAACAGG